AGCCUGAUGCAGCCAUGCCGCGUGUGUGAAGAAGGCCUUCGGGUUGUAAAGCACUUUCAGCGGGGAGGAAGGCGUUAAGGUUAAUAACCUUGUCGAUUGACGUUACCCGCAGAAGAAGCACCGGCUAACUCCGUGCCAGCAGCCGCGGUAAUACGGAGGGUGCAAGCGUUAAUCGGAAUUACUGGGCGUAAAGCGCACGCAGGCGGUCUGUCAAGUCGGAUGUGAAAUCCCCGGGCUCAACCUGGGAACUGCAUUCGAAACUGGCAGGCUAGAGUCUUGUAGAGGGGGGUAGAAUUCCAGGUGUAGCGGUGAAAUGCGUAGAGAUCUGGAGGAAUACCGGUGGCGAAGGCGGCCCCCUGGACAAAGACUGACGCUCAGGUGCGAAAGCGUGGGGAGCAAACAGGAUUAGAUACCCGUGUAGUCC
rnacentral:rRNA from 1 species